UUGCUGAGUAGGCCCCAACUGAGGAGCAGACGGAAGACCGCCUAACGUACCUUGUUGCGCCGCUAACUGAAGAAGUCACUACGUCCUUAAAUAAGAAAUUGAAGUCGCUCUUACGCUAAUUAUGUCGAUGUAUGGGGGUUACUACUGUAUGUCAGAUGAUAUGAAAAAGACAGUGUGCACCCAGGCCCGGAGAGUGAGCUCCAUAAUAAAUAACUCCGCAGCUUUCGCAAACAGGAUCGGUGCUUCCGCGCU